GAUGAACGCUGGCGGCGUGCCUAAUACAUGCAAGUCGAACGAAACUUCUUUAUCACCGAGUGCUUGCACUCACCGAUAAAGAGUUGAGUGGCGAACGGGUGAGUAACACGUGGGCAACCUGCCCAAAAGAGGGGGAUAACACUUGGAAACAGGUGCUAAUACCGCAUAACCAUAGUUACCGCAUGGUAACUAUGUAAAAGGUGGCUAUACUACCGCUUUUGGGUGGGCCCGCGGCGCAUUAGCUAGUUGGUAGGGUAAAGGCUUACCAAGGCAAUGAUGCGUAGCCGAAUUGAGAGGUUGAUCGGCCACAUUGGGACUGAGACACGGCCCAAACUCCUACGGGAGGCAGCAGUAGGGAAUCUUCCACAAUGGGCGAAAGCCUGAUGGAGCAACGCCGCGUGGGUGAAGAAGGUCUUCGGAUCGUAAAACCCUGUUGUUAGAGAAGAAAGUGCGUGAGAGUAACUGUUCACGUUUCGACGGUAUCUAACCAGAAAGCCACGGCUAACUACGU
rnacentral:rRNA from 1 species